ACAGGGUCACCAGCCGCCCCAUGAGCCCCACAGCAGCGUGGCCACACCUGACCCAGCAGGGCAGCCACACGUCCGUUAACGGGAUGCCUCAGGGACACACAUGUCCAUAUCACAGAUGUGCAAACAGAGACCCAGGCUCCUGACGUCGACCGGCACCCUGGACUCCUGGUCCUCUGGCAUCACCUGAGCUUCCCGGUUUUGAGAUCAGCCCUGAGGAUCUGGCAGCGUUUGAAAAAUAACAUUUUCCUAAUUGCA